GUGAGGAAUUUUCCGCAAUGGGCGAAAGCCUGACGGAGCAAUGCCGCGUGAAGGAUGAAGGCCUAUGGGUUGUAAACUUCUUUUCUCAGAAAAGAAUUAUGACGGUAUCUGAGGAAUAAGCAUCGGCUAACUCUGUGCCAGCAGCCGCGGUAAGACAGAGGUUGCAAGCGAUAUCCGGAAUGAUUGGGCGUAAAGCGUCUGUAGGUUGUUUAAAAAGUAUUUUGUCAAAGAUUAGGGCUUAACGAUAGAUAGGCAGAAUAAACUUUUAAGCUAGAGUGUGGAAGAGGGAGAGGGAAUUCCCGGUGGAGCGGUGAAAUGCGUAGAUAUCGGGAGGAACACAGAAGGCGACGGCACUCUGCUGGGCCAAUACUAACACUGAGAGACGAAGGCGAGGGGAGCAAAUGGGAGUAGAAACCCGGGUAGUCC
rnacentral:rRNA from 1 species